GACGGACGGUGCAAGCGUUGCUCGGAAUCACUGGGCGUAAAGGGUGCGUAGGCGGCUUGGUAGGUCUGGUGUGAAAGCCCCGGGCUCAGCCCGGGAAGGGCACUAGAAACUGCCAAGCUAGAGUGCCGGAGGGGAGAGUGGAAUUCCUGGUGUAGCGGUGAAAUGCGUAGAGAUCAGGAGGAAUACCGGUGGCGAAAGCGGCUCUCUGGGACGGUACUGACGCUGAGACGCGAAAGCGUGGGGAGCAAACAGG
rnacentral:rRNA from 1 species